CCUACGGGAGGCAGCAGUAGGGAAUUUUCGGCAAUGGGGGAAACCCUGACCGAGCAACGCCGCGUGAAGGAAGAAGGAAUUCGUUUCGUAAACUUCUGUUAUAAAGGAAGAAAGAUGAUAUCAGGAAAUGGAUGUCAAGUGACGGUACUUUAUGAGAAAGCCACGGCUAACUACGUGCCAGCAGCCGCGGUAAUACGUAGGUGGCAAGCGUUAUCCGGAAUUAUUGGGCGUAAAGAGGGAGCAGGCGGUAACAAAGGUCUGUGGUGAAAGCCUGAAGCUUAACUUCAGUAAGCCAUAGAAACCAGGUAACUAGAGUGCAAGAGAGGAUCGUGGAAUUCCAUGUGUAGCGGUGAAAUGCGUAGAUAUAUGGAGGAACACCAGUGGCGAAGGCGACGAUCUGGCUUGUAACUGACGCUGAGUCCCGAAAGCGUGGGGAGCAAAUAGGAUUAGAUACCCUAGUAGUCCACGCCGUAAACGAUGAGUACUAAGUGUUGGGGGUCGAACCUCAGUGCUGCAGUUAACGCAAUAAGUACUCCGCCUGAGUAGUACGUUCGCAAGAAUGAAACUCAAAUGAAUUGACGG
rnacentral:rRNA from 1 species